rnacentral:rRNA from 1 species
CUCAGGAUGAACGCUGGCGGCGUGCUUAACACAUGCAAGUCGAACGAAGCUCUUUGAACUGAGGAUUCGUCUGAAGUGAUGAGAUGACUUAGUGGCGGACGGGUGAGUAACGCGUGGGUAACCUGCCGUAUGCAGGGGGACAACAGUUGGAAACGACUGCUAAUACCGCAUAAGCGCACGGUAUUGCAUGAUACAGUGUGAAAAGAUUUAUCGGCAUACGAUGGACCCGCGUCUGAUUAGCUAGUUGGUGAGGUAACGGCCCACCAAGGCGACGAUCAGUAGCCGGCCUGAGAGGGUGAACGGCCACAUUGGGACUGAGACACGGCCCAAACUCCUACGGGAGGCAGCAGUGGGGAAUAUUGCACAAUGGGGGAAACCCUGAUGCAAGCGACGCCGCGUGAGUGAAGAAGUAUCUCGGUAUGUAAAGCUCUAUCAGCAGGGAAGAAAAUGACGGUACCUGACUAAGAAGACCCCGGCUAACUACGUGCCAGCCGCUGC